AACGAACGUUAGCGGCGCGCCUAACACAUGCAAGUCGAGCGAGAAAGGGCUUCGGCCCCGGUAAAGCGGCGCACGGGUGAGUAACACGUAGGUAAUCUUCCCCCAGGCGGUGGAUAACCUUCCGAAAGGAGGGCUAAUACAGCAUAAGACCACGCUUUUGAAAUAGAGUGAGGUCAAAGCGGGCCAAUGUACACAAGCUCGCACCAGGGGAUGAGCCUGCGGCCCAUCAGGUAGUUGGUAGGGUAAUGGCCUACCAAGCCAAAGACGGGUAGCUGGUCUGAGAGGAUGAUCAGCCACACUGGAACUGAGACACGGUCCAGACUCCUACGGGAGGCAGCAGUGGGGAAUCUUGCGCAAUGGGCGAAAGCCUGACGCAGCGACGCCGCGUGAGUGAUGAAGGCCCUCGGGUUGUAAAGCUCUGUGGAGAGAGACGAAUAAGGGUUGGCUAAUAUCCAACUCGAUGACGGUAUCUUUUUAGCAAGCACCGGCUAACUCUGUG
rnacentral:rRNA from 1 species